CUGGUCCUCAUCUGUAAAUUAGAAAGGACCAGGGGUCAUCUCAAAAGAUUCUUUGAAAAACUGACCAAAAUCUCCCCCACCCCCCACUUCCUGGGGAAAGUUAAGAUGAUGCCUAGUGCUACAAGAGCCCACAUGAGGAAAGGUGUGUGUGUGUGUGUGUGUGUGUGUGUGUGUGUGUGUGUGUGUGUGUGUAAACUCAUUAGUGCCAAAGGUCACACAGUGAGUCAGAAGGAGAACCUACUUUGCCUGUCCACAAAACCUUGCCCUAGCUUCACGUGAUGGAACACCCAUUUAAUCUCAGUGCUCAAAAGGCAGAGGCAGGCAGAUCUCUGUGCAUUUGAAGUUAACCUGGUCUACAUAGUGAGUUCCAGGCUAGCCAGGGGUCCAUAGAGAGACUCUGUCUUAAAAAACAAACGCCUUGCUGAGUGCUGCCUCCUUGGCCACCAGCCUCCUUUUCCAGGGACCCUGAAGACCUUCAUGGGAGGUGAAAAUGAGGGUAAUUCCUACCACCCCUGCAAUGGCUGGGUUUGCUUAGCAGCCGUCCCCCUGUGCCUGGCAUUUGUCAUGAGUCUCUGGGCUCACUCUAGGUCUCUUGAGAUCUCCCAGAUACUAGAAGCCUGGGAAAAUAGAAUACACACUCUCAUCCCAAUGAGCUCAGCAUCCUCUUCUGUGAAAUGGGGACACCUCAAGCGAUCACUACCCACAUGUGGUUCCUGUCUGCCCGGGCAGUGUUUGCCUCUCUCUUCCCCAGAACCCUUUUCCUCCCAUGUAGGAGGAAUGGGGUCUCUCCCUCUCGCUUCAGAGAGCUUUUCUCUGGUAAUGGGGACGGCUUAAAUCUCACAGAGGCCGUGCCCUUUUGUGCUCACAGAGCCCAGCUGAAGUGUGAAUUCCAAGUGUGUGGAGAGCUGGAGGUAGUGUGCAUGGGUGUAAGUCUGCAAGGAGGAUCUGUUGCUGCCAAAGGGUUUUCUGCCAAGGCAGAGGUGUUUAUAACAGGAGUCACCGUGAGCCUGUGACUUUAGUACCUGGGCACAGUGGACCCAAGUGCAGUUUGUCUCUGGAGCAUCCUGGCUGACCCUGGGAUACAUAAUGGCUGGGGACAGGAUGAGAGGUGGAGUUCCCCUUUCCACAGGGCAGGGCAGGCUUCAGGGCUGUCCACACUGUGCCUCUCUACCAACUUCAAGGGGGGUCCUGCGCCAUAGGCACUGGAUAGAGAAGAAACCGUGAGAAAUGGGAGGCGCGUGCCUGGCCCGCUGCCCAGACUCCUCCCUGCGGCUCUCAGCUCUGUACUUCAGUCUGAGUUAGUACAAAAGCCCUGCCCCACUCCUGGUAUCUUGCCCUGCGCUCCCAGCUCAAGAGCGCUAUGCACCCGGUGCGUCUCCCUCCCUCCUGGGACCAGCUUGCCUUGUUAAGACGUGAGUGAGGAGCUGGGUUACCCCAGCGUCUUGGCGGUGCCAGAACUCGGGGCACGGUGACGGAGAUGUGGCCGCACCAACCAUCUGGAGCGACCCCCAACUCCUGUGACGCCGAGCUGGAGAGGCGUCUUCCAUCCCGGGAGCCUCCUGGUGCCUUGAGGAGGAUUGAGCAGGGCUUGUGCCUGGGCUUGCCUGGGCUUGUUCAGAGCGGGGCUGCUCCCCUCUGUGACCGCACAGAUUGGGGGCUUUUGGAGACGUUGCCAGAGUUUGGAAGCCAAGGCCAGGGCUACAGGGGCCCAAAGGCUGCGCACCUGCUCGCCACGGAGCUCAGGCAGGGUUUCUCACUGAAACUGGAGCUAGCCUGUCAGCCAGUAAAGCCCAGGAGCUUCCUGUCUCCAUCCCCAACAAGGCGAGGCCUGGAGGUCACACCCUAUCUGCCAGUUUCCUGGAGCAUCCCCAUCCACAGGCCAUGUUGUGAGGGAGAAGAACCUCUUAGUGACGGUCAACACCAAGAACAGAUGUUGGGUUUAUGCUGUUAUUGUUAUUUGUUCUGGGAAUGAAACCCAAGGUCUCAAGCCAAGCCAGGGCUCCACCAGCUGAACGACUGCCCUGGCCCAGUCACUGGAUCUUAAGGCAGCCUGUAGUCUCACUAUAUUGCCCAGACUGGUCUCGAACCCCUGAACUCAAAGGAACCUCCUGACUUAGCCUCCUAGUGGAAGUUGGAAGGAGUUCCUGAACAUCUCCUGGUGGUGCUGGCCCUCGAGCUGAACUCUGACUAGUCAGUGUGUCCUCUGUGGGUGCUAGGACAGGGAGGCACUAGUGCAUGCUGCUGGUCCCCCACCACCCCACCCUCUGUGCCAGCACACUGACUUCAAAGUGCUGGAGGAGCCUGUUGUGCCUUGUAGGGUCUGUUGCACAGCUCAGCUUUCUCCCGUAGCCUCCCUGUCCUCCUGCAACUUCGGGUCAUUUUGUGCCUGUCCACGGAUCUCCACUUUGUGCCUGUCUGCAGAUCCUCACUUCUUGCCUGUCCAUGGAUCUCCACUUUGUGCCUGUCUGCAGAUCCUCACUUCUUGCCUGUCCAUGGAUCUCCACUUUGUGCCUGUCUGCAGACCCUCACUUUGUGCCUAUCUGCAGAUCUUCACUUCGUGCCUGUCUGCCGAUGCCCAGCCCAGCAGGCCAGCUGUGAGUGCUUCUUUGGCAGUGUCUUAGCUGGUUGUUGUGAGUACUAGUGAAGGAAGCAAUCAGCAAGUAUACUGCCCUAGAAGUGCUGCACGUUAUUGGGCCAAGAAGGAAGGAAAAAGGUGAGAGAUGCCCAGACCUUCGAGAGGUACCAGGACUUUGCAAACUGGUAGGUAAGGGCUUCUGGGGGAGGCAGGCUUUAGCACCCUCAAGAGAAGCGUGUUUAGGGGUGUUGAGUGGCAGGGGGAGGCACAGGGACUGGGGUAUAAGCUGCUUCUGACUGAGAGAAGGCUGCAUGUAGAGGUAGUAAUUAGAGCAUUUAUGAGGCAUGUAUGUUGUAGGUUUAUCUUCCUAGCCAAGCGGCUGCCCUCUUGUGGAAUUCAGCUGGACCCCCUUGCAAAAGGGUUAUUCCAGCUGGGGUUGACUAUUCACACUUCCACAAGGAGGGCUGAGGAGGGUCACAAGACCCUCACCUGAGUAUCCAGCUGCUCCCUUCCACCUGCUCUAUGCAACCCUGCCUUAAGUGCACGUGGCCUCAGGGAGAGGCUAGACUGUAUAGGCUGGGGAAGGCUGGAUAAGGCUGGGGGAGCAGGGUGGGGGGGGGAGGGGCUGCCAUCUGUGCAGCUACUGGGUAAAGGCUUUCCACAUGCAGUCGGUUGGGGAGGCACACCCACACUUUAGUUGCAGCAGCAGCAGCAGCAGCCACAGUCGCAGCAGCCGCAGCAGCAGCCGCCUCCCUCUGUGGCCCGUCAUCGGGUGCCUUUCCGCUGUCAGCAAUGCGACAUGUGCACCCCUUAAAGGUGCCUGCCAGGCGCAUCUCGCUCUCUUUGCCUCUUCUUUCUUCUCUCUCUCUUUUUUGGCUUUUCUAGGCAGGGUUUCUCCGUGUAGUUUUGGCGCCUGUCCUGGAUCUUGUUCUCUAGCCCAGGCUGGCCUUGAACU